UCGGGAAUUUUGGGCAAUGGGCGAAAGCCUGACCCAGCAACGCCGCGUGAAGGAUGAAAUCCCUCGGGAUGUAAACUUCGCAAGAACGGGAAGAAUAAGUAGGGGACAAUACCCCCUAUGAUGACGGUACCGUUUGUAAGCUCCGGCUAACUCCGUGCCAGCAGCCGCGGUAAUACGGGGGGAGCAAGCGUUGUUCGGAUUUACUGGGCGUAAAGGGCGCGUAGGCGGUCAGCACAAGUCAGUUGUGAAAUCUCCGAGCUUAACUCGGAAAGGUCAACUGAUACUGUGCGACUAGAGUGCAGAAGGGGCAACUGGAAUUCUCGGUGUAGCGGUGAAAUGCGUAGAUAUCGAGAGGAACACCUGCGGCGAAGGCGGGUUGCUGGGCUGACACUGACGCUGAGGCGCGAAAGCUAGGGGAGCGAACGGG
rnacentral:rRNA from 2 species